UCCACCACCCCUAGUUCGUUUCCCAGCGUUAGGAGUCUCUCAUGUUCUGUCUCCCUCUCUGAUAUUUCCCACUCAUUUUUUCUCCCUUCCCCUUCAUUCCCUUUCACUAUUUUUUAUAUUCCCCAAAUGAAGGAGACCAUAUAAUGUUUGUCCUUCUCCGAUUGACUUAUUUCACUCAGUGUAAUACCCUCAGUUCCAUCCACGUCGAAGCAAAUGGUGGGUAUUUGUUGUUUCUAAUGGCUGAGUAAUAUUCCAUUGUAUACAUAAACCACAUCUUCUGUAUCCAUUCAUCUUUCGAUGGAAACUGAGGCCCCUUCCACAGUUUGGCUAUUGUGGACAUUGCUGCUAUAAACAUUGGGGUUUUGUGCACAUUUUCUUCUUUAUUUCUUAUAACCCUAUAAGAUCAGGACUAUUAAUACACCUAAUUCUCAGAAGACAAAACUGAGAGUAAGGAUAAUAAAUAAUGAUUUAAAGUCAUACACCUAGUGAAUGACAGCUUGUCUAACAGCAAUUCUUCAUAUUUAUAGUAAAAAUUAGCAUUUUUCUGGGAUUAAAUUUUACACAACUGUAAACUGUAUUCAUUCAUUUUUUUAAAUUAGUUAAUUCAUUCAGCCAAAUACCCAGCAUGGUAGGUGCUAUGCAUAUAGAAGUUAACAGGUCAGAUAAGAGCCUUGUGGUCAGGGCAUUCAUUCUAGUAGGGGAAGAUAGGCAAUAAAAAAAAUAAAGAAAUGACGAUGAGAAGUAACAGGUGCCAGAAGAAAAUAAAAUGGUGAAGUGCCAGAGUGGUGGGAGGUGAUGCAGGGAGUGCACUCCAUUGGCCAGGGCAGUUGGCAACUUCUCUUGCCAGGUGGCUGGAGUGUGGCAAACGAGGAGUGUGAAAGUAGAUGAAGUUCAUAGAGGUAGGUAGGUGCCGGGCCAUGUAGGAUUUUGUAGGCUCAAUAGAGUUUAGGUUUUAUUCUAAAGGCACUGAGAAUGCACUGGAUGCUUUGGAGCAGGGGGCGAUAACAUGUUAUGUUCUGUGGAAAGUGAGAUGCAGCAGGGUCAAAGUGGAAACAGAACAAUCAGUGGUCCAGAUGAGAGGAUGAACAGUGAUGCCAGUGAUUGAUAAACCAGUAAGAGUUGGAAGAGUUGGGGAUACAUUUUUGAAAGUAGAGAUGAUAGGUUGUGCUGAUCAAGAAGACAUGUGGAGAGAGAAACCAAGGAUCAUAUUUAGGUCUUAGAUUUACUCGUAGGUAAGAGGGGGCUUGAGCCACAGAGCUGCCAUCUGGAGUGGUGGGAAGUGGGGGAUGAUGAGGUCAUUGUAGGACCUGCAGGAUGAGCAGCCUGAAGCCCAUGAGAGGUAGCAGGGCUGAAGACACAGGAGGCUCCAACACCCAGACACAGAAUGUGCUUACUACUAACUUCCUGGCCUAGGAUGAAAGGUCACUUUUAUGUGUGUUAGUCACAGUUUGUUGUGUGCCUUACCAACAUCCUGGAUUUCUAGGGUGCUGUUGGGAAAACCCUCCCAUGACAGCACCUCCCGAGUCAGCAAGAAUGUCAGUGUGGGGAGAUUUCACACUUCGAGGCAACUCAAUUUUCUUUAAGCCUGAUGGAGCACUUCAUUCCUUCACACAAGCAGGCAUUAGGAGCCUUUUCAGUUUGUCAUCCUAAUAAAAAUGUCUAUUUUAUUUAUUUAUUAAUGAGGAACGCAGAGAGAGAGGCAGAGACACAUGCAGAGGGAGAAGCAGGCUCCAGUGCGGGACUUGAUCCCAGGACUCUGGGAUCACGACCUGAGCUGAAGGCAGACACUCAACCUCUGAGCCACCAAGGCACCCCAGGAGUUUGGCUCUUGAUGGAUUGGGAAGAAGUAUGUGAAGAAAGAAAAAGAACAGAGAGGGAUGCCCCCUAAGAGGAGAACCAUGAAUUUCUCCUGCAUCAAGAUCUUCCUGGCUGUUAUUCUAGAUAAACAUCAGUCAUCUUGACUCUUCUUGAACUUUCUCAUGGUUGACAACCUCAGUGGUUCUGAAAAUCCUGAGUUCCUUCACUUCUCCAUCCCACAGUGUUAUAAGUCUACUGGCAUCUUUUCUGCAGGUUUACAGAUCUUAUCUUUUGAACAAAACAAUACUACCUUUACUUUAUUCUGGCUCCCUUCAGACCAAGAUUCCUCUCAUCCUUUUGGGAAAAGAUUUAGUUUGUCUCUUCCACCGAAGAUAAAUACUAUAUUGAAAAACUAAGAGAUUGGGAUCCCUGGGUGGUGCAGCGGUUUGGCGCCUGCCUUUGGCCCAGGGCGCGAUCCUGGAGACCCGGGAUCGAGUCCCACGUCGGGCUCCUGGUGCAUGGAGCCUGGUUCUCCCUCUGCCUGUGUCUCUGCCUCUCUCUCUCUCUCUGUGUGUGUGUGACUAUCAUAA